rnacentral:rRNA from 1 species
GGCUAUUAUGAGAUUAUUUAUAGUCUAGCCUGCUCAGUGAUAGUAAUUAUUAAAUAGCCGCGGUAUUUUGACCGUGCAAAGGUAGCAUAAUCAUUAGUUUCUUAAUUGGAAACUCGUAUGAAUGGUUGGACAAAGAAGAAGCUGUCUCUUAUAUUAUUAUUGAAUUUAACCUUUAAGUGAAAAGGCUUAAAUAUUCUAGAGGGACGAUAAGACCCUAUAAAGCUUUAUAAGUUUAGAGAUUUUGUAUAUUUUUCUAUAAAAAUAAAUUCUGUAAAAUUUAUUUGGUUGGGGCGACAAUGGUAUAAAGGAAAUAACUGCUAUAAAAAUUGACAAUUAUAUUUGGUUUAUAAAUAAUUGAUCCUUUCUAAGGAUUUUAAAAUCAAGUUACUUUAGGGAUAACAGCGUUAUUUUUUCUGAGAGUUCUUAUCAAAGGAAAAGUUUGCGACCUCGAUGUUGAAUUAAAAUGUCUUUAUAGUGCAGCAGCUAUAAAAGAAGGUCUGUUCGACCUUUAAUAUUUUACAUGAUUUGAGUUCAGACCGGCGAGAGCCAG